GACGAACGCUGGCGGCGCGCUUAACACAUGCAAGUCGAACGGACAGGCCCUGCUUUUCUUGGUUGCUCGAGUGGCGAACGGGUGAGUAACACGUGAGUAACCUGCCUCUGACUUUGGGAUAACUUUAGGAAACUAGGGCUAAUACCGGAUAGGCGCUCCUGCCGCCUGGUCGGGGUUGGAAAGUUUCGGCGACUGGGGGUGGACUCGCGGCUUAUCAGCUUGUUGGUGGGGUAGUGGCUUACCAAGGCGUUGACGGGUCGCCGGCCUGCGUGGUGGACCGGCCAGAUUGGGACUGGAAUAAGGCCCAGACUACUACGGGAGGCAGCGGUGGGGAAUAUUGCACAAUGGGCGGAGGCCUGAUGCAGCGACGCCGCGUGCGGGAUGACGGCCUGCGGGUUGUAAACCGCUUUCGCCUGUGACGAAGCGUGAGUGACGGUAAUGGGUAAAGAAGCACCGGCUAACUACGUG
rnacentral:rRNA from 1 species